rnacentral:rRNA from 1 species
AGAGUUGAUCCUGGCUCAGGAUGAACGCUAGCGGGAGGCCUAACACAUGCAAGUCGAACGGGAUUCAGUAGCUUGCUACUGAUGAGAGUGGCGCACGGGUGAGUAACGCGUAUGCAACCUACCUCUUACAGGGGGAUAGCCCGGAGAAAUCCGGAUUAAUAUCCCAUGGUAUUUAUUCUCCGCAUGGAUAAUAAAUUAAAGAUUUAUCGGUAAGAGAUGGGCAUGCGUGACAUUAGUUUGUUGGUGAGGUAACGGCUCACCAAGACUACGAUGUCUAGGGGUUCUGAGAGGAUGAUCCCCCACACUGGUACUGAGACACGGACCAGACUCCUACGGGAGGCAGCAGUGAGGAAUAUUGGUCAAUGGGCGCAAGCCUGAACCAGCCAUCCCGCGUGAAGGAAGACGGCCCUAUGGGUUGUAAACUUCUUUUCUGCACCAAGAAUUGGCCUUACGUGUAAGGUUUUGACGGUAGUGCAGGAAUAAGCAUCGGCUAACUCCGUGCCAGCAGCCGCGGUAAUACGGAGGAUGCAAGCGUUAUCCGGAUUCAUUGGGUUUAAAGGGUACGUAGGUGGCCCAGUAAGUCAGUGGUGAAAUCCUGCCGCUUAACGGUAGAACUGCCAUUGAUACUGCUGGGCUUGAGUACAGUUGAGGUAGGCGGAAUGUGUAGUGUAGCGGUGAAAUGCUUAGAUAUUACACAGAACCCCGAUUGCGAAGGCAGCUUACUAAACUGUAACUGACACUGAGGUACGAAAGCGUGGGGAGCGAACAGGAUUAGAUACCCUGGUAGUCCACGCCGUAAACGAUGCUCACUCGCUGUAUGCGAUACACAGUAUGCGGCCAAGCGAAAGUAUUAAGUGAGCCACCUGGGAG